UGCAGGGUAUCAAAGCAGAGGACUUGGCAUCUGCCCACACUGCCAAAAGCACCAAAACCUGGUUCAAUGACCGUGGGAUUACUGUGCUUGAUUGGCCAGCGAACUUGCCUGACCUGAACCCAUAGAGAAUCUGUGGGGCAUUGCCAAAAGAAAGAUGAGAGACAUGAGACCGAACAAUGCAGAAGAGCUGAAGGCCGCUAUUGAAGCAUCCUGGUCUUCCAUAACACCUCAGCAGUGCCACAGGCUGAUAGCUUCCAUGCCACACCGCA